rnacentral:lncRNA from 1 species
GCCAUUCUCCUGCCUCAGCCUUCCGAGUAGCUGGGACUAUAGGUGCCCGCCACCACGCCAGGCUAAUUUUUUGUAUUUUUAGUAGAGAUGGGGUUUCACCGUGUUAGCCAGGAUGGUCUCGAUCUUCUGACCUCGUGAUCUGCCCGCCUCGGCCUCCCAAAGUGCUAGGAUUACAGGCGUGAGCCACCGCGCCCGGCAGCAAAUUUUAAGCCAAGAAAUUGAAUGUUGCCAGAACCCCAGGAACCACCCAGCCUCUUCCCAUAUGACCACUUCCCCCACACUCUCCACCUUCCUUACUUCUAUGAUGCCCCUGGCUUCAGAUAGAAAGGCCCUGAACAUCUACUGGGGUUUUGAGAAGAAUAUCAACACUUUCCUAAGAGAAUUUUCUAUCUGUAAGAUCAUAUACUUGAUUGGAAAUGGCUUUGCUAACUGGCAUAUUUUUAUUCAUUUGAUCAACUUAAAUAUACCCUUACAAAAGAAGUUUAUACCAAUACAUCAAGCGUACAACAAAGUGAACACAGUGACUGCAAACCAGAUCUGUAGGCCUCAUGACUCAAAUAAUGAAAAUUGUGAUUUUUUUCAUUGUGCAAACAACUUGAUUAUUAACUCUGAUGAAUAUCCGCUAAAAAUAUUUUGAAUAUUAUGAAAAGCAGUUGGAAAAACUUGAUAUGUAUUC